CCCCAACCCUUUUUUUUUUUUUUUGGUUCUUUUUUUUUUUAAGUUGGCAAUUACUAACGUGACUGUUUUUGUGUUCCUUAAGAUUACUUCUGUCCUCCUCCUGUUACUUUUUUCAUGUUAGUCAGAAAAGGGCUGGCAGAAACUUGCUCAUCUCCAUUCUAACUUUUAUGUCUGUUUUUAAUCUAGAACCCAAUAACUAUCGGAGCAUCCACGGCCGGGCAGUAAAUGGCAGUCAGUUGGGAAAGGAUUACAUCCAGCUGAGGAGCCUGCUGCAACCCAUCCGGAUUUACUCCAGAGCCGGCUUGUACGGCCCCAGUAUUGGACGGCCCAGGAAGAACGUCAUUGCCCUCCUGGAUGGAUUCCUGAAGGUGGCAGGAAGCACAGUAGAUGCGGUUACCUGGCAACAGUAGGUAUUCAUCAUCUUUAUCUCACUUAUCAGCUGCUGUGAAAUGGAAGAUAAUUAGUUGUCACCAAGUUCACAGCUGACAUUUGAUAAACUACCCUUUAUCUUUCAAGAAAAAUUAAAAU
rnacentral:lncRNA from 1 species